GUAGAAGCGGCAGGUAGAAGCGGCGGGUAGCAGUGGUAGGGUAGCAGCGGUAGAGUAGCAGUGGUAGGGUAGCAGUGGUAGGGUAGAAACGGCAGGUAGAAGCGGUAGGGUAGGAGCAGCGGUAGGUAGAAGCGGUUGGUAGCAGUGGUAGGGUAGCAGCAGCGGUAGGGUAGAGGCAGCAGUAGGUAGCAGCAGUAGGGUAGCAGCAGUAGGUAGCAGCGGCAGGUAGCAGCGGUAGGGUAGAAGCGGCAGGUAGCAGCGGCAGGUAGAAGCGGUAGGGUAGUAGCGUUAGGGUAGCAGCGCCAGGUAGAAGUGGUAGGGUAGAAGCAGCGGUUGGUAGCAGUGGUAGGGUAGCAGCGAUAGGGUAGCAGAAGUAGGUAGCAGCAGUAGGGUAGCAGAGGUAGGGUAGAAGCGGCAGUAGGUAGCAGCAGUAGGGUAGGAGCGAUAUGGUAGCAGGGGUAAGGUAGCAGCAGUAGGUAGCAGCAGUAAGGUAGCAGCAGUAGGGUAGAAGCAGUAGAUAGCAGCAGUAGGGUAGAGGCAGUAGGGUAGGAGCAGUAGGGUAGAAGAAGUAGGGUAUCAGCAGUAGGGUAGCAGGAGUAGGUAGCAGCAGUAGGGUAGCAGAAGUAGGGUAGCAGCAGUAGGGUAGAGGAAGUAGGGUAGCAGCAGUCAGUAGGUAGAAGUGGUAGGUAGCAGCAGUAGAUAGCAGCAGUAGGUAGCAGCUGUAGGUAGCAGGGGUAGGGUAGCAGCGGUAGGUUUCAGCGGUUGGUAGCAGCGGUAGGGUAGCAGCAGUAGGGUAGAAGCAGUUGGUAGCAGUGAUAGGGUAGUAGGGUAGGUAGCAGCAGUAGGGUACAAGCAGUUGGUAGCAGUGAUAGGGUAGCAGCAGUAGAUAGCAGCAGUAGGUAGCAGCGGUAGGGUAGCAGCGGUAGGGUAGAAGCAGUAGGGUAGCAGCUGUAGGUAGCAGCAGUAAAUAGCAGCAGUAGGGUAGCAGCAGUAGGGUAGAGCGGUAGGGUAGAAGCGGUAGGGUAGCAGCGGUAGGUAGCAGCGGUAGGGUAGCAGCGGUAGGGUAGUAGCAGUAGGGUAGCAGAAGUAGGGUAGCAGCAGUAGGGUAGAAGCAGUAGGGUAGAAGCAGUAGGUAGCAGCAGUAGGUAGCAGCAGUAGGGUAGCAGAAGUAGGGUAGCAGCAGUAGGGUAGCAGCAGUAGGUAGCAGCAGUAGG
rnacentral:lncRNA from 1 species